rnacentral:lncRNA from 1 species
AGCUCCUUUCAGAUAGAGACAAGGGAUAUUUGACUUCUUAUCUCUGUUGUCCAGCACAAUGUCCAGAACACAACAGAUAUUCCAUAUGCACAGUCACAUGCUAUGUAUGUGUAUUUUCUUUCCAGAAAGGACUAGAGGUCCUAAGCUUUGUUAAUAUCAUGAGCCAGUGCCCACAUGAGCAGGAGAAUUUUAGCACAGUCACCUACACACUCAUUUCGAUGCUCUGACCCCUUAUCCAAGCCAGUCAAAGUGUGGUCUAUGGUUUUGCAUUUUAAAGAGAUCCCUGGGUGAAUCUUGUGCAUGUUACAGGGAAGCACUGUCCUACAUCCUAUGUGACAGGCUCUCAUAGUCACCAUCAUCAUGGGAAUCUUGCACAUGUUACAGGGAAGCACUGUCCUACAUCAUAUGUGACAGGCUCUCAUAGUCACCAUCAUCACGGGAAUCUUGCACAUGUUACAGGGAAGCACUGUCCUACAUCGUAUGUGACAGGCUCUCAUAAUCACCAUCAUCAUGUGAUCUUGUGCAUGUUACAGGGAAGCACUGUUCUACAUCGUAUCUGACAGGCUCUCAUAGUCACCGUCAUCACGGGAAUCUUGUGCAUGUUACAGGGAAGCACUGUCCUACAUCAUAUGUGACAGGCUCUCAUAGUCACCAUCAUCACGGGAAGCUGCAUUUAGAGCAUUUAACUGUAUGGGCUCUGAAAUCAGAUGACUUAGGUUUGGGCUUGCCUCUACUUCUUACUAAGCAGAGAACUUUGGGGCAUGAUACUUAAUUUUACUAGGCUCAGUUUUAUCAUGUGUAAAUUGGAGGCAAGGGGAAAUUAUAGCAUUUUGCAUAGAAUAUUGUUUUAAGUAUGAA